GAUGGAAUCCAGAAACGUUUUGGAGAAAUGAUGAAAGACCCUGAGCUGAUUGCAGCUGCAAUACUAAUACCAAGAUUCAGAACAUCAUGGACCACAGAGGAGAGCAUCUUAAAAGCUGGUCUGACCUUCAUCAGACAUCAACUAGACACAGAGUUGGGUGAGGCCAGCACAAACAGCAGCCUAUCUGAUGAAGAUUACUUCUUUGGGUCCAUGGGGUCAGGAAAUCCAGAAGCAGGGGAGCUGGAGAGGUACCUUUCAUGUCCAUUCACUGGAGGUGUGGAUGUAUUGCAUGGCUUUCCUCAGAUCAAGAAGCUGUCGAUCAAAGUCAAUACAGCUCUUCCUGCAUCUGCAGCCUGUGAGUGACUUUUUAGUCAUGCAGGACUCCUGUUCACUGCCAAACGGUCACAGCUUCACAGCAAGAACCUUGAGAGCCAACUGCUGCUGAAGCUGAACCACCAUUUCACUGACUGAAGAAACAAUUUAUGGUAAAGUGAGCCAUACACAUAUGUACAUCCACAUAGUGGAAAUUUGUAUUUGUCUUUUAUAAUUAGUUUUAAUGUGUGUGUGUUUUGUUUUUUUGUUUUUUGUUUUUUGUUUUCUUGUUUUUUAAUUCCUGCUGCCUGCCUUGGGAAUAAACUUUUCCUGAUUAUA